GACGAAGGGGGCUAGCGUUGUUCGGAAUUACUGGGCGUAAAGCGUGCGCAGGCGGUUAUGCAAGACAGAUGUGAAAUCCCCGGGCUUAACCUGAACCGCAUUUGUGACUGCAUAGCUGGAGUACGGCAGAGGGGGAUGGAAUUCCGCGUGUAGCAGUGAAAUGCGUAGAUAUGCGGAGGAACACCGAUGGCGAAGGCAGUCCCCUGGGCCUGUACUGACGCUCAUGCACGAAAGCGUGGGGAGCAAACAGG
rnacentral:rRNA from 1 species